AACGCACAUUGCGCCUCCUGGUAUUCCGGGAGGCAUGCCUGUUCGAGCGUCAUUAAAUACCUCUCAAGCACAUUUGCUUGGUCGUGGAAGAUGAGUAUGCUUGCAUUCUCCCUUCUGAAAUUCACAGGCGGAUGAUCUCAUAUCCCCAGGCGUAGUAAGUUUAUCUUUUCGCUCGGUGUGUGUGAUAGUCCUGCCUUCAACCCCCAAUUUUUUUUUCCAGGUUGACCUCGGAUCAGGUAGGGAUACCCGCUGAACUUAA
rnacentral:misc_RNA from 2 species